rnacentral:lncRNA from 1 species
UCCUUGCACGCGUUUUUCUCAACAAUAUUAUCAAUUUUAGAAAUAAAUUACGUUAUUAUUAAACGUCAUCACUCAUCACGCACCAGAGUAUGUUCAAAAUCAAAUGGGAGAAGUCUCCAAGGAUCAACUGAGGCUCUUAUCGGAUUUCGUCUCAACUCCAUAAGCUAAUGUAGAGGAAUGAAUUUACAAAACAUAUUGAGUGGGAUGGCAUUCAAACACUUCGAUCGAUGGGUCCUCUAGGAGUAGGAAAGGAUGUGCAUUCUCCGAUCAUUUUCGUUGUCCAAUGUUAUGAAAGAGAAGGCUUCACUGGAGAUGGGACGGGUCUUUUUGUGUGCUCUUUCAUCACUCUCCUAGUUUUAUUGAAUGCCGAAAUAUUCAUGAUUCUUAAAGGAAGAAAUAAACUAUAGAGAGUCUCUAUCGAAGGCUCUGUUUUUUUUACCAAUGAACACUACAUUUGCUAAUUUUCGAUUAAGUAUUAUUUAAUAUGAUAUAAAUAACCAAUUCAAUAUCCCUGUUUGGAUGGCUAUAUUUUUUUUUAACAGAAGGAGAUGGAUUUGAAGGUAACCUUCAUGAAUUAACAUAUUUUUAAGUGUGUUAUCUUGUUUUUUCAAUUUAUUUUAAGUCUGUCGUAGAAAUAUAGCAUUUGUAUAUGUCUUCCCAAAAUACAGUGCGAGAUAAUGUAUUCCUCUUUAGUUAUUAUAACUAACAAUGUGAAAAUAAAUUUUCUUAUAAUCAUUUCAACUAUUUUCGAGGUAUUACAUGUUUUUAUCAAAAUUAAUAGAAAAGCACAACACCCUUGGUCGUUAAUUACAAUCUUCAAUUCAAGGAUAUAUUCUUGCACUUUGCUCACGGUAGACCCAUUCUCAAUUUUAUAUUGAUUUGGUAUCCAUAUAAAGGAAUACAUAAUGCGCAUGUAAAACAAAACUUGUAUCAAAAAUCAUGGUGAAUAGCUAAAAAGAAAAUAAAUGAUUUAUUUACGUUUCAAAAUUUUAAAAUCUAAUGAGUUAUACAAAUUAGCACAGUCAACCAAUUUCUUAAGGUUGUAUUCAUCUUUUUUACAGAGGAAUUACUCAUCUUAUAAAUUCGAAAGAGACAUGCAUUUAAAAUAUUAUAUCAAGUUUUGGCCGAAGUCCAUUUUUUAAUAUAUCAAAUGAUGAAUAAUUGAAUGAUUUUCUUUAUCAGGUGCGUCCCCAAGAUUUUACUUUGGGGGCUUAAUUUUUUUGGAAAAUAUUUCAAACACUAAAUUUUACCCCUCACAUCUGAAUUUGAUAGAAUGACCUUUAAUUUUUUAGAAAAGCAAGAACAUUAUUAUUGAAAGCUGACAUUAAUGAAUUCAAUUUCUGAUUCUUUAGUGAUAAUUGUAUUAUCCUGUACUAGAACAAGCCAAUCUCAAAUUACUAAUUGAUUGAGAUUUAUCCAGUUUGUUUAACGUGGUUUAUUCAUUAUUAAGUUACAACGAUUUUAGCAGUCAUCAUUUGUGUCAUAAUUAUGCAGAUAUAUAAAUGGAAUUUAUCAAAAGCUGCCAAGGGUCUAAUAAUCUUUGCGUUCAAAGCUACAUCUAUAGGUCGGAACGGAAAAACUUAAAUAGUUUGAAUUGGAGGAAUGUUGAAAAUGGUUGUAGAGGCAGAGUUAAAACAGGAACAAACCCAGAAGAAGGAAAAAUUCCAAAUGUUAUGUCGGAAGAGAAUCAUAUUCCUGCUCCUGGAAAAGUACAUGUAAAAAAAACUAAAUUAAACAUUAAAAGUAUGGUUUUUUUCCUCGGUAGAGCCUCCGAGAGCUCUUAUAAGGAGUGCUGUUCAAAAUAUGGGAGAUGAAGCUUCCAUUGUCAUUAGCUAAAAUACAAAUAGCCCAAACCAUAAGACCAAUAAGGAGAGAUAACAGUGCUCCUCCAUCGUCAGGGUCUAGGUAUGGAUUUGGAAUCCCACCCAACCCUAGAUUUUCAAACUCAGGAGAAUCAAUUUUAUUUUUAAUUGUGGUUUGAUUGAUGAAAAUCGAAUAAUUAUUUGUUCAACUAAAAAGUUCUUACAAAUAAUGUGUAGAUACCAACAUGGGUUUGUGGAUGGAACUUUUAAAGUUAGUCCGAUUAUAUUUUACCAAUUAUUUACGUUACACGCACUAGUUAUGGACACAGUAAUUUCCUGUGUAUAUGCAUUUCUUUCAAACAAAAGCCGUGAUACAUACAGCAGAUUUUGGGAUAGAUUAGUGAAGAACACAUACGGAAUUACAUUUAAUCCCAUCAGUGUAUUACCUGAUUUUGAAAUAAAUACGAUGUCUACAGCUAAGGAGGUUUUUCCUUUUACUAAAGUUGUUGGAUGUAUUUUUUUAUUUGGGCUAGUCGUUGUGAAGUUAAGUCAGGGCUACGACAAAUUUAUAUUGAAAAUGAGGAUAUACAGAUUAAAGUAAAGAGUCUUAUUGCGUUGGCUUUCCUUCCUCACGAUAGAAUUAUCAAUCUUUUGAGAUCCUCACAGAAACCUUCCCUGAGGAUCUCAGAGUCAUUGCCGAUUAUUUUGAAGACAAUUACAUCGGUCGGUAAACGGAGAGAACUACGAGAGAGCCACGAUAUCUUCUAGCUUUAUUAAAUAUGAAUAUACAAACAGAAGAAGGUUUUCCUAGAACAAAUAACUCUGUAGAAUCUUGGUAUAUGGCUUUCCAGUCUUCCAUACAGUGCCGGCACCCUUCACUUUGGAAGCUUCUCCGAACCAUCAUUAAAGAAAAUGUGUUACAGGAAGUUGUCUUCCACCAAAUUAUAUCAGGAUCAGUUCCUUUACCCCCUCCCCCAAAAAAAAAAAAAACAAAAACAUUAUAAGAAUAAAUGAGGCACUAAAUAAUUUAAUUCAGAAUAUUAAUAAAUUACCAAUUCUUAAUUUUUUGCGUGGAUUUGCGCUAAAUGUGGAAAUGAAAGUAUAGUUUUAAAAUCGAAAUUGUCUUAACUUAUUUUACUAUAUAAUGCCACAAAAGAACUUUGAGGUAAAUAUCAGGAGACGUUCCCUACAAAUGGGGGGGGGCGUCGUUGUGGACGAAAGUAAAUCAAAAAAUGAAAAAUGGAGGACUAAACGAAUGAAAGGAGUAUUAUUGUUAUUGAGAAUUCUCUGCACACUAAAAAGGUAGAGAAGGGAACGUACAAAACAAUAGAUAAAUGAAAUUACUAUAUUAACAAGUACUAAUACUAAUAUGCCACAAUAUACAUGUAUUCAAAAAGUAAAAAUACAUCACAUCAGCUAUUACUAAUUGGUAUUAGACCUUUAACCCUUGCAUGUUUUUGUUGCACUCGAAACAUACCAACCAAACACAUAUUUCAUUUCGUAUUCAACAAUAAUUUGCCAAACUGAAACAACCAUGUUGGUAAGUGUGAUUUGAUAUUCGUAUGAUAUUGAUGUUGCAUCAGCACACGUUUUAAAUAGUUAAUAAUUCAAAAAUAAAUAAAAAACAUUUUAGGGUUAGAGCAUUUAUUUAUAUCCAAUUCAUACCAUGUGUGACAAUUUAUUUUAAUCUAUAAUUCGUAACUUCUAUAAAAGACAAUCAAUACAAUUAUUCAUUUAAAGAAAAUCAUCAUUUGGCACAAUAAUUUCACUAUCAUCCAUGAAUAAUCAAGAUUUUAAGAAUCCAGACUGUCUAUUGUUUAUUUCUUCCUUUAAGAAUGAUGAAUAUUUCUGCAUUCAUUUAAGCUAGCAGAGCGAUGAAAAAGAACCCAAAAAGACCCGUCCCAUCUCCAGUGAAGCCUUCUCCUACGAAGAACUAAAUAAAGGUAAUAUAGUUUUGAAUCAAGUCAAAAAUGGCUCAUAAAUCAAAGGUUUACUGUCAUAACAUCGGACAACGAAAAUGAUCGGAGAAUGCACAUCCUGUUUUAAAGAUCCUACUCCUAGAGGACCCAUCGAUCGAAGUGUUUAAAUGCCCUCCCACUCAAUAUGUUUUGUAAAUUCAUUCCCCCACAUAAGCUUACGGAGUUGGGACCAAAUCCGAUAAGAGCCUCAAUUGCCGUUUCGAGACUUCACCCAUUUGAUUUUGCACACCCCUCUUUUGAGUGAUGACAUUUAAUAAUGACGUAAUUUAUUUCAUAAUAUUUACUAUAUGAAAAUGUCACUGUAAUGAAUGUUUCUUAGAUUAAGCUUCCCGAAUGAAUACUUGCUCAAAUGAAUGUUGGUAAGAUGACCCUCUCUGAAAUAAAUGUUGCUCAAAUAAACAGACACAAUACCAUGUGCAUCACAAUUCCUUGUACACUUUUUAUACAGAUAAUAACGUUUAAAUUUAACGAAAAUUUCUUAAAAAGGGAUUAAUAAUAAAAAGCUGGUUUCCUUUAAGGUGUAUAUUGAAGAAAUAAAAUCAUUUUUAAGUCUUUUAGGAGUUUCAAAAUACAGGAAUCGAAAAACUCCUUCAAAAAAUAGUUUUGCAUAUCAAAGUGGUGACAAUCCCUCCAUGAUUGCACGUAACCUCGGGAUCCGGAGCACUACAGUAUACAAGGCCAAGAAGCUUUACAACAAAACUGAAUCCUUUGUCGAUCGUCACAGGUUGGGAAGACCUAAAUUGGUCCGCACAGAAAGCCUCAUAAGGAAUGUGAAUCCAAAGAUAGACGUAAAUUUUUCUGAUAACAUUCCAGGUACCUCAGAGUUCACAAAGCGGCUGUCCGCUGCGUCUUUAAGGAUGACUUGGCCCUCAAAUCUAGGAGUGUCACAAAUGUUAAGGAUCGGACGGUUUUACACAGACAAAAGAGGCUGGAACGGUCGAAGAUCCUCCUUAAUAAAUUGUAGAAACCCCAUAGAAAAGUCUUCAUUUUUUCAGAUGAAAAAAAUUUCAUAGUAGACCCAGUUAGCAACUCCUGCGGCCUUUGGUACAUCGCCAAGAACCCCAAAGACGCCUUUCCCAACGUAAAAUUCACCAAGGGAUCGAAACACCCAGCCAAUACCAUAAUGCUUGUUGUCAUUGAUUCAGAUGGUACGGUGUUUCUACCAGUGUGGAUAAGAGAGACCUUGAAGGCCUAUAAAUAUAAAAUUAUCGUGGCCAAAAAUGUGUUUCCCGGCCUCAACGCAAACUACGGCAUUAAAAAAUUGGGUAGGGGCACAGAACAAAGCACCGUCCCACACAUCCCAGAUCACCUAAAAGUAUUUAAAAACAAAUUAGGGGCGAAUGGAUUUUGGUCCAAGGAUAUGUGGCUGUCCAAAUCCUCCAAGCUGAACCAACUUGACUACUACGUGUAGCGUGUUGUACAGAAAAAGACCAACGCCCAAUACCACAGCAGCGUCGAGGUCAUGAAGGCAAAGUUGGAGAAGAAUGACCAACAUUCUAGAUGGCACCCUCCGGAAAGUUUGUCUUAAGUUUCGAAUCUCUUCAGCUAUUUAUUGUGGCAAAUUAAAAUAUCCUUAAUCUACUUUUCAUUGAUUUUUUUCUGUAUCAUUAAUAUUAAGCCUAGAUUUCUCUUUCUUUCUAAUAAAAUUAAAAAUGUACAAGUACUUAUGACGCGUACAGUAUAUGUUUGUGGGAGUGCAGGAUAGUUUAAACAGGUUAAACAUCUUUCCAGGUAAACAUGCUGUUUCCGAACUAUAUAUUUUCUUUGAUUAAAACACAGACAAAUAGAGUUAUACAGGUGCUUGUACCACCUAACGCUCUUACUAUUUGUCACUUUGAAGCUAUUCUUUAGUUGCAUCAUUCAUAAUUCCUAAAAAACUAGAAAUAUCGGGAAAUGAAUGUAAAAUGGAGCAUGCUUUUUUUCAGCAAGAUGUAUGAAGAGAUAUUUUACUUCCUAAAAGUUAUCGUUGGAGAUUUCCUAUGGUUGUCCGGCUUGCUUUUUUUCUUUAAUAAACCUCCAAUGUCCUUCAGUAUUUGUCUUGUUGUUGUUGUUUGAGGGGUUAUUGUCGCUGUUAUUCAUGAUUAUUUUUUUUCUAAAACUGUAAGUUAAAUUAUUAUUUAAGUUAUUUUUUAACAAAUUUUCUAGCAAUGAAUCAGGAGCAGUGAGCCAGACAAGCCUACAGAAAGAAGUGGAAGAGGGUUUGUCAAGAGAUGGAAUCUGUGCCAAAUGGAUUGACAGGAGAAAUGCUACAAGAAAAAAAUGUACCCAACGUUGAACAGCUUGAACCUAAACAACAAGAAUCUAUCAGAAUUCAGUACUCUAACCAUGAGGAUUCCUUAUUGUUAUUAUCAGAUACUGAGCCUGAUAAUAGGAUGGCAAUGGGGAUACUAUUACGUGAAAGUGUUUAUCCUGAGAUUAUUGAAGAUAUUAAUACUAUUGAGUUCUAUCGUCUGAUCCAAGGCUCCAUCCUUAAAGAGCAUUUUUAAUUAUUUCCGUUACAUCAAUUCUAAAUAGCUACCCACAAUGGUAUAUUUUACUUCAGGAAUGAAUGACUCCUGCAAACUUUUGAAAGUGCGUCCCUUUUUCAUUAGUUACAUUCAAUACAUAGAAGUGAAGUGAAGAAAAUGUUUUAUUCGUCAUCAAUUAAUUUUAACUAUAAUUCCCUAAUCAGAAUUGGAACCUUGACUCGAUUUGUAUUAAAAAAAAGAAAUUUCAGAUUUGACUAUGAUUCAAUGUGAAAGACUCGUAACUCGACUAGAAUUCGUCUUCAAAUCAACAAAGUUAAGAUAUUAAUAAGACUCAAAGCUUAAACUUCACUAACCCAUGUACCCAAAAACUCGCGAGACUAUUAUUUAGAGAUAUUAAGACUUUAUUCGAGCUUAACUCCCUUGUGAUUCUACUAAUGUUUGCAAAUAUUACCAGUGAACAUAAUUAUAUUUAAAAUAUACUCGCAACAUUGAAUUUUUUUAUAUGUCGGAAGAAUUCUAUAAAAGAAUGUACCUCAUCGCAAACAAUUGCUAAUAUGGAGCUGAAAUCUGUUUUCUCCUGAAUUACACUUCUAUAUAUGUUGGAUAAUAAUUCAUUUGACUGACUGAAAGAAGAAAAUAAUGCCCUUGUUUCAUCAGGGUCAUAGUUUCCAUACAAAGUUAUAAAGUAAAGACACAAAAUAAUUAAUUAUAUUAAAUCAACAUAUAUUAUCCUUAUUUAAUUAAUUUUCUUUUAAAUGGUUGAGCUCUAUGAACUUGCGCACAUGAUUGGAUAAAUAAAAAAAUGGUAGUGGCGUAUAGCAUUAUUGGCAUUUUGUGACUUUAUAACGGACCUUGCUAUAUAUACUAAUAUCUAAAAGACGACUCUUUAAUAUCUUGAAAUCUUUAACAGUGUCAUUGAUAUCAAUAUUGGACCGCGUUUAUGCAGUAUUUUUGCAAAUUCAUUGGGAUCUUUUUAGAUGAAAUACCACAUUAUUAGAGAUUAGACGAUGUGCAAAUGAUAGUAUAACAAUAAAAAAAAUCAUCAGAAAAUAAGCAAAGAUGAAGAUAUUAAUCGUUCAUGCAAUAAUUUGUUGGAGUAUCUCCAAAGGUGAAGAAAUUGAUGGAAACUCAUGAAAUUUAAUCUAAAGCUGGGACAGCUUAAUAUUGAUCUGCAAAGGGAAUACUCGUUUUUUUAGAUGGAAAAGAAGAAAAAUGGACACUAGACUACAGGUGAAAGAUAUUGAUAGAAAAUUCAAUAAGAGGUUGCAGAAGAGACCGUUAAUGAAUUUGUAAUUAACUAAGUUUUUAGAGUUUA